AAUAUUCUUACUUGCAAUGUCAUGAUUCUAUGCUAUCAAUCUUGUACUUUAUUUUAGAAUUCAACUCACAGAUUCUCUGUAUUUCAGGGCAUGUAUCUAUAUUUUAAGAGACAUGAUGGGCAAGCUGUAACAUGUGAAGAUUUUUAUGUUGCCAUGCGGGAUGCAAAUGAUGCAGAUUUUGCCAAUUUCUUAUCGUGGUACUCUCAGGCUGGGACUCCUAUUGUUAAAGUCAAUACUUCUUAUAAUGCAGAAGGACAUACAUUUUCCUUGAAGAUUAGUCAAGAGAUACCACCAACUCCAGAGCAGUCAGUUAAGGAACC